UGUUAAAGUUGUUAUCUAUUUUUACCAUUAAAGAUUGGAUUAAUCGUUAGAUAACUUGACAGUUGCAUGUGGUAUGUCACUUGUAUCUUAUAUUGUCAUACAAGGAUAAGUUUUAGUAGUAUAAAUAGAUGAAAUUUUUAACA
rfam:Gossypium arboreum cultivar AKA8401 contig_1520_3, whole genome shotgun sequence.